rnacentral:rRNA from 1 species
AUUGAACGCUGGCGGCAGGCUUAACACAUGCAAGUCGAGCGGGGUGAUGGUGCUUGCGCUAUCACUUAGCGGCGGACGGGUGAGUAAUGCUUAGGAAUCUGCCUAUUAGUGGGGGACAGCAUCUCGAAAGGGAUGCUAAUACCGCAUACGUCCUACGGGAGAAAGCAGGGGAUCACUUGUGACCUUGCGCUAAUAGAUGAGCCUAAGUCGGAUUAGCUAGUUGGUUGGGUAAAGGCCUACCAAGGCGACGAUCUGUAGCGGGUCUGAGAGGAUGAUCCGCCACACUGGGACUGAGACACGGCCCAGACUCCUACGGGAGGCAGCAGUGGGGAAUAUUGGACAAUGGGGGGAACCCUGAUCCAGCCAUGCCGCGUGUGUGAAGAAGGCCUUAUGGUUGUAAAGCACUUUAAGCGAGGAGGAGGCUCUUUUGGUUAAUACCCAAGAUGAGUGGACGUUACUCGCAGAAUAAGCACCGGCUAACUCUGUGCCAGCCGCCGCCGUAA